rnacentral:rRNA from 1 species
UACGUAGGGGGCAAGCGUUGUCCGGAUUUACUGGGCGUAAAGCGCACGUAGGCGGAUCGUUAAGUCGGGGUGAAAUCCUGGAGCUCAACUCCAGAACUGCCUUCGAUACUGGCGAUCUUGAGUCCGGAAGAGGUGAGUGGAACUCCUAGUGUAGAGGUGGAAUUCGUAGAUAUUAGGAAGAACACCAGUGGCGAAGGCGGCUCACUGGUCCGGUACUGACGCUGAGGUGCGAAAGCGUGGGGAGCAAACAGG